UGCUUUGUAAACAAAGGACAGGUCGUUGGAGGAGAGUGCCUAAAACUCAAGUCUGACAUUCAGGCCUAUGUCACCCUAUAAAACCGCCCUCUGCAAUUCUAUUUUCUAUUUGAAAAGAGAAACCAGCUGCGGGCUGGCUUUACUAGGUGCUUGCUGUGUGACAGACUGGCUCACCUGCUGGAGCAGCAGCGCGCACCUCUCACCUUUUGUUUAUGGGCCCUGUUUCUAAACACGUGGGUGCGCUGAGAGAAAGGAGGGCUGAACCUAUUGCAGCCGCGCAGGGCUCGCGCGCCACCACCCCACCCCCACCCCAUAUAUAGGCUUGUUUAAAUUUCUCAUUUUGAUCCAGAGACAAUUCUUUCACUACAUAAAUAGUCCAUAUUACUGGAAUCAUUCUCUUUUGAUAGGUGGUUACUAGCAGUUAACAACCGUUUAUUUACUUUUAAAAUUAAUAAACUUUAUAAAGUAACCGUCCAUUUGCCCCUCCUCCCUAGUAGUGGCGGGUGAGUUGGUUAUUUUGUCUUUAUUUUUUGAGGAGGUGCUUUCGGAGUCGGGGAAGAGAAAGGGCAAAGCGGGGAAAGAGAGAGAGACAGACGGACUCACUCCUGAGGAGGUAGGGAGAAGGAAGAAGGAAUAUGGAGACUAUGAAGAAUCAUGACCAAGUGUCCAGGAACUAGGAAAAAAUAAAAAAUAAACCAAACUGUUGUUUCCGUGGCCCACCCCAGCCUUCCUCUUCCCAGAUCCUUUCUCCCCCUGACACCAUGCCCUCUUAAUACUAUUUUAGCUUUUCCUCUUGCAAAUUUCAGAGUCAGCCCUGAGGUUAUUGAGGACACUUAUCCGAAGGAGGGAAAUAAUAAGUGUGGAGAGUGUUUCUGAUGUUUCUUGAAAGGCAAAAACAGAGCGCCCUCCUCUAAACAAGGGCACACAAUUGUACCUGCUUUUUAUUUUUUGGGGGGGGGGAGGUGGCCACUGGCUGAACUAGACUACUUUCCAGUAAGGUUUAAAUAUUUCUUCAAAAAAUUAAAAAUAUUUUACCCGAUCAUAUUUUAUCAGCUGUAAUUAUAACACAUUCAAAAUGAAUAAUAUGCCUCGACAGUAUUUUUAUUGUUAUUGUUCAUUGCAUGAUAUUCGACUGCUUUAGAAGCACAGGAAAGAGAAGUAAACGCGCUACAAAUGGGGAAUUACCCUCGUUUAGCAUUAAAAUUCAUUUAGAUAAAAUUGCCACAAACAUUUAAAUGGGAAGAUUAGUUCCCCCUCACGCCUUAUUGCACUCGCUCAAUGGUUCCGUUAAGAACAUUUUACACGUUGGAAAUUCCGUCUUCUCAGACGGCUUGCUGUUUCCUAGUUACCCACAUUCAAAGCGAGGCAGCGGCAAAGGCAGCCGCAGCCGCAGAAGCAGCAGGGGAAAAAAAAAGUUUUGGCAACCGGUCUGCAAUUCAUCCGCUGCUCGCCCCAGUCUCCCCUCCGCCCAGGACGGCCAGCCCCCCACCCUCACCCUUUCCCCAGACCUACCCCUUGCCCCCAUUAUGUAAUUUGCAGAGCCCUGACCUCAAACAAUCAAGUUGCUUAGUUGUGUAGCGUUUGUAGAUAAUGUUGAAAUACAAAGAAAUAUCAAAAAGCCAGUGGGCCCCUUUCUGAGUCUCCCUCUCCCGCUUCUGUUCAGAAUUAAGGGUUUAGCUCGAAUGUGCUGAGUUUCUCACAUCUCCUACCCUGAGGCCACAAAAGCACGUUUUUUGGCUUUCUUUUCGGCCAGGACUUUUCCAGGAAAUUCACCACUGCUUCUUGCUUGUACUAUAUUAGAAACGUGAUAAAGAAUUAGUUUGAAAAGUCCACGCGGCGUUUAGUUUCUCCUUCCCCCUUUCUGCCCCUCCCCCCUCUCUCUCUACCCUCCCCCUCCCCCUCUCUCCCUCCCUUCGCAGAGCCCCUGGAAAAAAGAGGAAAGUCGGCUUCGACUGCCACCUUUUGGGCAUUUGGAAAAAUGACUCGGUAGGAAACGGAGAGAGGCGGAGGCGCGGGGAGGUGUGUGUGGGGGAAACCCCCUUAUUAUCCUGUGUCGGAACUGGCUCCUUUAAUCUGAUGCUUAAAUAUUUGAUGUGGAAAAAUUACCCAUAAAAUUAGUUACUAACAAUUUCAAAUUGAAAUCACUUAUCGAAUUAUAAACGCAUUAAAGCUGUAUGGAUGGUAUUAGGAGUUCCUCAGGAGGCAGCGGUGUCUCCUUGCAGCGAGCGGGGCCGGAGAGUUUUGCCCCGGGGAGAGGCGCCCGGCGCGGAGCCCUGGGGAGGCCGGGGGCGCGGCGCGGAGGCCCGGGCGCGCGGACCCAGCGGGCAGCCUGGCCCGGAGGAGUCUCCGGCUCCCUCGGCUUGCGGAGGCGGGGAGGAGGGUGGGAAGGAUGGGCUGUGGGAGGCUCCGACCGGGGGCAGAGGCGCCUACCAGCAAACUUCCUAGGGAAGUGGGAAGAUUCUCAAAAUCAAAGUCGCAGCCCUCCCUCCUCUCACGCACGUAUCCUACAUGGCACGCGUGCUUUGCGGUCCCCGCUCCUUGCUGUCCGCAGCGCCCCCCGAGUGAGGGCCGGGGCGGGAGAGGAGUUGCGGAUGUCGGGUGGUGGGCUGGGCUCCUCGCCCAGGGAGAAAAGCCCGAGGGCCGCUGCCAGGAGCUCCAGGCGCGACGCAGCUCCCCUUGGCCCCACCGCGCGCGGCGUCGGGCCUGGGCGCAGGGCAGAGGCGGACAGGUCCCUGCCGCGCGCAGAGAGCACCUGGGGAGCUUGCUGCUGGACGCCCGCUGUGGCCUCCUGCGUGCUCCCCGCCCCACCUGAAAGUACGGCUAGUUGGUGCCAUCUCUGGAGACCGGGCAGCGUGGGGUCCGCUCCGAGGUUUGGGGAGACGCCUCCUGGAGGGCUCAGCCCCUUCCCUCGGCACCGCUGGCCGUGCUUUGCAGUGGACUCGAGAUUUCUCGGACUCUGUCACAUCAGAGCCAAGGCGGUUCUAGAAACGUGACCUAGAGGGCUUGGGGAACAGGGCACCCGAGAUUCUGGCAGGCAGACGGGGCGCGAGGGCGGGGGUCGGGAGCCGCAGCCCGAGGGCGGUGGGCGGCGCCCGGGAGUCUGAGGCCGGAGCUCUGGAUGACUUUUAACGUCCCGAAAACUUUCCCUGGCCGUUCGGAUCCCGGCAGGACCCCUGCCUGAGCGGAGGCAGUCAAAACGUGACUCGAUCCUGCAGAGCUACUAGGUAGUCGUUUCGAAGCCGGGUGGAGCGGCGUGGAAUUGAGCAGCGGGGCGCCAUGCCUGGCCAGGCAUUUUUCCUGGUCUCGCUCCCCUGCCCGGUGCUACCCCGCACCCACUGGCUCUUUGGUGACACGUAUAACUCGGGUCGUGUCGGUGCAGAGUCUAUAAGACACUGGGAGCUCCAGGGCCGAGAGAGAGCCGAGGGGGAGCGAGGGUCCCAGGCCUGAUGCGGGCUGAUGGCAGGAAGGGGGAGGAUUCCCCUUUCCGCCUGCGCCUAAAAUUCUCUCCCCGGGAGGAGCUGAAAGGAAAACAAACAACAUAUUAAGCAAUCAUUCUCCACAGUUUGCGACUUAAAGAGUCUUUGCCCUAAAAAUGGCUUCCUAGAGAUCUCUGUGGGGUUGUCGGGGCAUUUUUAGGGCCGUGGUGCUAGCUGGCCGCUCCUUGGGGUCGCCUUCCCGCGCACUGCCUCCUGCCCUCCCGGCGCGCUCAGCCCCUCACUGAGAAACCCGGACUUGAAGCCUUGGAGAAAAGGGAUUUAGUUUUAAAGCAGUUUCUCAUCGAUCGAGUCCUACCCCUGCCCACUAGCAGACACACUCACCUCUACCCUAAAGUAUUAAGUUCAGUACGUGAGCAAUGAUCUUAAUCUCCAUGCGGAAAACGAGUCCCGGUACAACGUCGGUGGGGAAGCAGUGAAUAUUGUCACCUGCUUCGCCCACUCUCCCGGGCCGCUCCUACCCGCCGAGGCCUCUUGUGUACCCGCGUGGGUCCCUAGCUCCACGCCGAGGCGCGCCGGGCAGAGGUCAGGAGCCCUUGACUGCUUUCUCCGGGCGGGCGACCUGCUUGAAUGGUGGAAUUGCGCACACGUUCUCCUGCCCUCUCUGAGCCUUCCUUCUUAGGCCUCCCUCGAACCUCAGCACUUCCUCGGUUCUCUUCUCCCCAAAAGUUUCCUUUCUCCACCUAGAGCCUCGUGGCUCUACUGGGCUCAGUCCCUCGCAAGCGCUGGUCCCGGCGCUGCUGCCUCGGUGACCCAGAGCUUAUUAGCCUCCGCCUACCUCAUCCACCUUUCUGGACUUGGGAGUGUGGUAAUUGCUCAGCGAGGCUCCUUUGAAGACCCUCGCUGAGGGUAACCUAGGAUUUUAAAGAACAAGAUUCUUCCUUUUAGGGGAGCUCUUGCGACCACUGAUAACUCCAUCGGAGAGAGACUCGGGUCAGCACCAAACACCCCUAACAGCCUCCAGCACCCCGCCCCCGCAGCGAGCUGCGUCUGGCACCGCAGGGAGAAGGAGGCGGGCCACGCGCACCCGUCCCUUUUCUGGCAGACCCUCCGGGCGCCAGUUUGUUCUGGAGACCCAGUUUCCCCCGGACAAAAGCGGAGAAAACACAAGGCGUAAAUCCACGUCCCGCUAGCCCUCCACCCCAUCCAAAUCUGAUUUGGAGAAGUGCUUUUUCAGGUAGUCCUAAACUGUGAACAGCCAGCUUUGUGUGUUAUCUAGUGGGGGUGGGGAUGGAAGGGGAGGAGACUCCACUGCCCGCU
ensembl:lncRNA